GAAAUGCGAUAAGUAGUGUGAAUUGCAGAAUUCAGUGAAUCAUCGAAUCUUUGAACGCACAUUGCGCCCUUUGGUAUUCCAAAGGGCAUGCCUGUUCGAGCGUCAUUUGUACCCUCAAGCUUUGCUUGGUGUUGGGCGUCUUGUCUCUAGCUUUGCUGGAGACUCGCCUUAAAGUAAUUGGCAGCCGGCCUACUGGUUUCGGAGCGCAGCACAAGUCGCACUCUCUAUCAGCAAAGGUCUAGCAUCCAUUAAGCCUUUUUUUCAACCUUUGACCUCGGAUCAGGUAGGGAUACCCGCUGAACUUAAGC
rnacentral:misc_RNA from 1 species